AAAUAGCCGCGGUAUUUGGACCGUGCUAAGGUAGCAUAAUAAUUUUCUUUUUAAUUGGGAGAUAGGAUGAAAGAGUGAACAAGGAGGUUUUGUGCCAUUUUUAGUGAGAUAAUUUUAUUAAGGAGUAAGAAAGCUCCUAGGUUUUAGAAAGACGAUAAGACCCUAUAAAACUUAACUAAUGAAAGCUGUGGAGUGUUUAAGUUUUGAAGUUUAAGAUUAGUUUAGCUGGGGCGGCUUACUUUAGAAGACAAAGGGUUUGAUAACAUAUUUAAUGGGAUUAAUGAGCGCAAAUGUGCAAUUAAGAUUAAGUUACUUUAGGGAUAACAGAAGUAAUAUUUUUGGAGAGUUCCAAUCGAUAAAGAUGUUUGUUACCUCG
rnacentral:rRNA from 1 species